UACGAAGGGGGGCUAGCGUUGCUCGGAAUCACUGGGCGUAAAGCGCACGUAGGCGGAUUGCUAAGUCAGGGGUGAAAUCCUGGAGCUCAACUCCAGAACUGCCCUUGAUACUGGCGGUCUCGAGUCCGGGAGAGGUGAGUGGAAUUCCCAGUGUAGCGGUGAAAUGCGUAGAUAUUGGGAGGAACACCAGUGGCGAAGGCGGCUCACUGGACCGGUACUGACGCUGAGGCGCGAAAGCGUGGGGAGCAAACGGG
rnacentral:rRNA from 1 species